ensembl:snRNA U6 U6 spliceosomal RNA
UUGCUCACUUCGGCAGCACAUAUACUAAAACUGGAAUGAUACAGAGAAAAUUAGCAUGGCCUCUGUGCAAUGAGGAAAUGCAAAUUCAUCAAGUGUUCCAUAUUUUU